AUUCUAACGCGAGCGCCGACCGGGCGGCGGGGUUGGCUCUGCAUCGGCGUCCACCCUCCCCUCGGGCAGCCUCGUAGAAAGUGACUGACCAGCCUCGGGCAGGCACCCUCCCCCUAGGGCACCUCAGCGUCGCCGUCGCCUCCUUUUAUUUGUGGCGGCGCGCGCAUCGCUCCCCCAUCCGUAUCGCUCUCGUUGUCAGCCGGAGAACCAACAAGCCCACCUUCGAAUCUAUAUUCGAACGGGGGAAAAAGAUAGCGAUGGAUUUCCCUCUGGAUCCGGUGAGCAGGUUUGCAGUCUACCAAUCUGUGAUGCAUGCCCAGCGGAGGUAGCCGUCUUGAGCUUGCAUGGGGACGACUCUGCCAGCAGCUACGCUGGCCCCGCGGCGGCCGGUGCAUCGGUGAUUGGGGAUCUCGCAGACGGAGCUAGUGUCGGAGAUGUCGGCCGCGUGAUGGGAGGCGCUGAUGGCCCUGAUUCCGCGCAGUCAACCGGUAUCGACAAUCCCCAGUCUGCUGGGUGGACGAAGAGGCAACAGGUACAGCUCAAUUUCACCUUACUUGAUCAGGGAGGAAUGCGAGCACUUGAUCAGAUAACAUUCAGUCAACAGCUACAGCUCGAUUUCACCACUUGAUCACGAAGGGCGUCGAGCACUUGAUCAGAGAGGACGGUGAGCACUUGAUUAGAGAGGACGACGGGCACUUGUUCUAGGACAAAGGCGACACACGAGAUGACCAGGUCGAGGAGAAGCAGAGGCCCCGCGGUGGCGCGCUGUCGAGGAGGAGCUGCUCAGCGGAGCAGCGUCGCAGCCAACGAGCGAACGGAGCAGUGGAGCA